AGGGGUAUAGCUCAGUUGGUAGAGCAUCGGUCUCCAAAACCGAGUGCCGUGGGUUCAAGUCCUACUACCCCUGCCA
rnacentral:tRNA from 1 species